AAAACCUCUCCUGUUCAGAGCAGGCGGCAGAGGUGGCUUUUCAUCCCACGGCUCUCGCAAACUGCACAAGUGGGCAGACACCGCUCAAUCGGAUCCAGCCCUCUUAAGAAAAUGUCUGAAAAGCCAUUGUAUACCUGCACACCGGGCUGUCUACCGAGGGAAGCAGUUAAGCUCCCCUUUGGAAGUAGUGGCAGAGAAGCGCUGUCCCUGCUGGGGCUGGAUCCGGCUCCACUGCCAGUGCAGGCGGUCUGCCCGAAAGGUGGCUCCCUUUGCUUUCCAAAGUAACUAUUGCAAGACAGAUCAAACAAAAGCAGUUUUAAUCUGCUCUGACUAAUAUCACAAACCGGCUCCCCCGCGCCAGUAAUACGGUCCCCUGAGCAAAUGAAGGCUCAGAAGAAUGAGGAACUUGUACCGGCUGCCUCAGGGAGGUCAGUCCAGGGCAGCUGUCCUUUGCCCCAGAAGAUUGCUAGUGACUUUCGGGGCCCAAAUUGGUUAGAUUGCCCGAGGAGGUAGACUCGGGUCAUUCUGAGAUGCCCAGCAGGCUGUUGCCACAUACCCUUUUGUGCCCAAAGCGGGUAUUACAUUCUGACCUGUAUUGUUUUUAAAACGCCAACUAGCACAUUGGCUAAGGUUUACCUUGCAAAUCACCCUGAGUUCUACUAAUACCAGUGAUGGAAGCAGGGCAAACCACAUCUCUGGCUCAGCAUAGCCGUGUGCCUCUGCAUGAGGAGCAUAUCCUUUCCGAUCUCAGAAUCCUUACUUGAUGAGGAGACAGUGAGUCAGACCUUGCAAAGAUGGAAACACUGAAGCUGCUACAUGUGAAUGAGGAGCAUAGAACCAGAGAGACAGCAGAUGCUCAACCAGCAGCCGCGGACUUGGACCUGUCGGUCUAGAUACCAAUUUGAUGCUUAUGAAGAAAAGCUAGGCCAGGUUGUUUGAGAGCAACAUGGCAGCUGACAGUCACCUAGGUAAGCAUGUGACCUAUGACCCACACAGGGAGAGUCUCCAGAGAAAUGGGGCCCAGAGACUUAUGGGAGCAUCUUGUGUGUCUGCAUGCAAUGUAAAAAGCAGCUCGAGGCUCAACCCAUGGAAACAGAUGAGGAAAGUGGAGCAGACAGAAGACUAAGUAGAGGUACCACGGGCGACUCCUGUACUCUUAAGAACGGCACACAAGUUUUAAACGGGUCCUCAGACGGACAAUUUGUGACAAAGUGGAAGAACCAUGCCAUGGAUGUCACACACGUCCCAGUGUGAGGUCAGAUCAAGAGACACCUGCAUUAGCUGCCACUCACACCAGCUAGGAUGAGUUCUUCUGCCCAGUUCCUGAAAUGGAAUACCUGAUGCAAAAAUGGAAACUUCAUAUGGUCAAGUUGCGGGCAGAAAGUUACCAUAGCUGGCUGGGCCUUGGAUGAGAAGGACGCUGAUCAGGAUGUAAGCAAGCUCUCAGUUACUGUGCCAUGCCUGCUUGCCUGCUGCCACACUGCCUACCAUGAUGGUUGUGGAUUUACUAUCCCUCUGAAACUCUUUUUGCCAUGGGGUCUAUGAAGUGAAAAUUCAACAGUGGGAUUUUGGCGCCACAGUGUGUGCCAAGAUCCAGAGCAACCACAGAGAGGGCAUUGCUGUUGACCUCAGGCUUCCUCUCCACCCAUUUAUCCUCCCUGAUCUUCCAAGGGGAUCCUCUGGCUACGAACCUCACUCUCACCCCACCCCUUGGCAGGCCUGGUUUAGAGUCCUGGUAUCAGAGGAAGGAAAAAAGUUUUGACACAUACAUGUGGUUUGGAAAUUCCAAAAAGGCCGGCACGCGAGCCUUCAGCAAUUUACAUUUGAGGUCAUAGUGGGAGACUAGGGAUGUAGAAUUUAUGGUCCAAUGGGAUAAAUCAAAUCCCUGCUCUGGAUCAGAGUUUUCUGUGCCCUAGAUUGUCAGACAUUCUUGGAGGAUGCUUCCAAGCACGAGUUUGACAAGCUCAGGGUUACAGGACUCUGAGAAGAUGCCCAGUUAAUACUGGAUGUACUGAUGCCUUUGAGUGCAACAGAAAAACACAUUACCAGAAGCAAAGAGACACUGUUGCAGACAGAAAGAGAAAAUUCAAGAAUUCCACAGAAGAAUCAAAUACCUGCAACAAGACGACAAGGUGCCAAAGACCGAGGAAAUGGCUGGAUGAAGAGGUGCCCUUCCCCACACACACCCAAAUGACCAAGCAUCCCGAGGAUGCUGAAAGUCUCAGUAGUAGAUAAGGAAAGACACUCCCUUUUGCUUGAAGAGCUUGCAGGGAAAUUGAACCCCUGUCCAGCUCAGUGGGGGAAUCUUGUCAGCCACACAUGGCAAUUUCCUCAUUGACCCUUCACUGUUCUCUCAAAGCAAAGCCACCAGAAUACAGAAAUCAUGAACAGUCAGGUUUAAGUAUGGUGCUGGUUGGUUUUUGUCAACCUGACACAAACCUAGACAUAUUUGGGAAGAGAGAAUCUUAACUGAGAAAGUGCCUUCACAAGAUUGGCCUAGAGCAAGCCUGUGGGGUUUGUCUUGAUUAAAGAUUGAUAUGGGAGGGUCCUGUCCACUGUGGGUGGUACCACCCCUAGGCUGAUGGUCCAGGGUUGUACAAGAAAGCAGGUUGAGCAAGCCAUGAGGAGCAAGGCAGUAAGCAGCACCCCUCCAUAGCCUCUGCAUCAGCUCCUGCUUCCAGGUCCCUACUCUGAUUUCCUUUGAUGAUGGACUGUGAUGCGAAAUGUCAUCUGAAAUAAACCCUUCCCUCCCCAAGUUGAUUUUGGUUAUGGCGUUCAUCGCAGCAACAGAAACACUAACUGAGACAAGCACCAUGCCUGCUGAGAUCAGAGGGUGAGCCUUCCACAAGAAGCCCACCCUGUGCACCUGUGUAAGACAGCCGCAUGUCUAUGUAUUCUCUCCUGUGUGCUGGAAUUGAGCAAACUCUGGGGCACAGCAGUUCAGAUAACCCAGAGCUCAAACUGCGGAGGAAAAGAAAGAGCAGAACAAGUAAUCACGUGACACCAAGGACAGGAAGUAAUCACGUGACACCAAAGACAACUAGAGUGCUUUGGGCGUCUGUGGAGGAAGCUUCAUGACUUGCAUGGAAAUAGAGGAACAAACCCAAGGUUGAGUUUAUUCUAAAUACCUCAAAAUGUGUCCUAGAGCUCAUUCAAGUGGAUACCACCUCGAAGCCAUUCCAGGCUCUUGGUUUCUUCAUCAUUCCCGAUUUUACCUUCCCCUACCCAUCUGACAAAAAAUGACUGUUUCCCUUCAUUUGAUUGUUUCAAUAUCCAUGACUUGCUGAAGAUAUCCCAUCCUCCUACAGCCAAGUAGAGAAGGCAUCUUAGGGAUCACAGAGAAAUGCGCUGGCUUCUUCCACCAUUGAAAUCUCUUAGGAUACUUUCCAAAUCAUUCAACCUGAUAACAUUAAUAUAGGAUAUCUUCAUAGCUCCUCGUGUAUCAAACACCUAAAACUAACUUUCCACGGUCAAAGCCAACCUUGCAAAGACCAUUUGUCUAAAUGUGCCAGUUUAUUCUGCUUGGUGCGUUGGGUAUCAGAACUCCGCCAGCUGGGAUAGUGCUCAGCAGAAAACAUUUGACUUAGAAGUAGAACAUUCCAGAGCAUUUAAGGUUGGAAGUGAUUUAGAGAUCGUUCAUUCCUUUCAGCCUUGGACACAAGAGGAGAGCUGGAGGAGGUGGGGUGACUGAGCCAAAGGCAUCAGGCUGGUGGUGGUUAGCAGCACGUGAGGACUGACAUGGGGCUGGUGUGGGGGGGACUCUCGGGGUUUUCUGGGACUGUCAUAGAAAGCCUAGCGUCAUGCCUGGCACACAGCUGCACACCGCACAGAAUGUUGAAGUGAGCGACUAAUUGCUGAAAGUACUCUAAUGAUGUCCAAGCCUGCACUAGAACAUCUGCCCCACCAUAGUCCAGUGACGUAGGUACUACUAACUGCCACCUGCCGAGCACACCAGAAUCAAUCCCUGAGAUUGGAAAUGGUUCCUAGUCGGGUUUCAAACACACCAGAACAAUUAAGGAACACUUUUUUUUUUUCUUUUUGUAACUCUCAAAAUUUGAAUCGGAAUCACUGGCUGAGGCACCAGUCUACAAACAGCUAACCAACAUUCCCUCCCUCUCACCCAGGGGGAUAGGAAAAACCUCCACUCCCACCUCCAGACCUCAGCCCCGCAGGUGUGCGCGUCUGCGCCAUCUAGUGUCCAGAGAGAGAAAAUGCUCUGCAGAACAGCCAGAACCCUGUAGCCAGGUGAGCAUAAAAGUGUUAGGUACUCAGCUGGGCCAUCACUCUCUUUUCUUGGUACAAUCUGGGGUAAGAAUGGCUUGCCAGCUUUCAUGUCCCUAACUUGGUGAUGCUGGCUAAAUCCUAUAGGCCACUUCUACCUGAAUACCGACAUGCCGGGAGUCUAUGCUAAACACCAGAGUGUGACAGUUUCAGGUGGUGGAGAGGCAGUCUCUCAGCGAACCAUAUUCACUAGGUGUUUUUAUCCGAGGCUGUGACUUCCCUCAACUCUAUAGCUUAGCCUUUAUCAAUUGUGAUUGGGACUCUUGCUUUGAAAGCUCAGACAAAUGAAUGUCUUCUAAGAUCGGUGACUACGAAGUAGAAGAAAACAGAAACAUUCUUGCUACUCAGACAUUUGGUGCUUAAUAUCUAAAGUAACAAUGUCACAGAGGUAAUAACUGUGCUGGAGCUACAGGCAGGUCUUAUGGAUCCACAAUAAAAAUACAAAGGACUAAGCUGGGUGGUGAUGGCACACUCGGAUCUCUGUGAGUUCAAGGCCAUCCUGGGCUACAGAGUGAGUUCCAGGACAGGCUCCAAAGCUACACAGAGAAAACUUGUCUCAAAAAAUAAAAAACAGAAAGGAAGAAAGAAUGCAGAGGACUAGACGCAGCAGCAGGAGAGAGCGAGAUUUAAAGAGAAUCAGCAACUGGAGCCUCAUGCAAGGUGAAGGGAAAUAACAAAAGCCAGGGUUCUUAGUCCCAAAACAGCCCUACAGGAAAUUCCAUGGAACAAUCUUCUGUGGAAAACAGGAGACGUGUUUUAUAAAUAAUGAGGUGGGCAGGGCUGUGGGGAGACAAGGCGCCACAGCGGAAGAGCGGAGCCUGGGUGAGGAUGGACCUUCCUGGCCGGAAGAAGAGACAGCAAGCAUCUGGUGCAAUGACGAGGUACGGAACAUCAGGUGCUGCCCAGGAAACAUCCUUUAUACAGGUUAGUGUGUUUUACCUUGCCCAGACAGCUCCUUAAAGUAAUUUCUCUUUGCAUUUCCCUCCUCUCUCUCUCUCUCUCUCUCUCUCUCUCUCUCUCUCUCUCUCUCUCUCUCUCUCUCUCUCUCUCCUGUUCUCUUCUUCUCUCUUUUUUUCAGGUCUGUGUCCAUGGAGACUGGUAUUCACUGAGAAAUGGGGAAGCAGGGAGAGAGGAUCUAGAGGGGAGUCCUAACAAAUAACCAGGAUGAUGUCUCUUGUGGUGGAUUAAAAGGAUGGAAAGUGUGCUUCAAAUACAUCUACACCGACACAUAUUUGCAUACCUAUUAUCCUGUUUUAGUCAGGACCUUGAACGUUAGUGUUGGUCAUGCAGAAUUUCAAUAUUAAGCAGUGAUGGCUGUAAAAUCAGUGUGAGCCCCAGUGAGCCUGAGGGCCUCCAGAACCAGGCUUUGUCUCCAGUUCAUCCAUUUGGUGCUGCCUUAACAGCAGAGCUCUGAGGGACCCCAGAGGUCAAAGUGAGUGGAAAAAGCUAAUCCCAUCCUGAGGCCUUGGGCUGAGGGAGAGCACAGGUGCCCUGGGAAAGCUGAGUGGUCAGAGCUGCAAAUGAGCCAGAGCUGAGGAGAGAGAACAAGCCCCGGAGCUCCCGUGAACCCCUGGCCAGCCACCUCUGUCUCAUCUGUCCCCUCAGCACCCCGUUCCUCUGCCUUGUCCUCCAGGUCCCAGGAGCGUCUUCCACCUCAGCUCUUGAUGGUACUAUAAUUUCCUUAAUUUCUGCCCACCUUUCCCUCCUCUCCCUAAAACACCCACCUCUACCAGUUCUCUCAUCUGACUCGUCUACGGAAUCUUCUGAGCUCCACCCCUGACUAUCAACAAGGAACAUUCUCUAGAUAGCUGUACUGUCCUGGCCAGUGAGGAGACAGGAUACAUCGUAAAUACAACCAUUUCCUUCUACCAGCCCUCGCUCUGGGAAUGACCUUGUUGCUAAGUCUAGACUGUGUACGCACGUACUCAAGUACCUUCCCCUGGGGUGCCACCCUGGCUGUCACCCCAGAAGCCCCAAAUAGGAGGUAAAGGGGACCCUAGAGGAGCACUUAGUGAAGCAGGUUAAGUCCAGGUGGCGUGACUGGAACAAGACAGGCUGGAGGCAGUUCACAGGGGAUUUCGGAAAUGCCAGCUGCAACACCAUCCUGGUGGCUGUGGGUGCCACCAGGAUGUGAUGGGGAACACUUUCUUCAGUUCACAUCUUCUUGGCACGUCAAGUGGACUCUGCACCCAGGUGGACCAAGAUGCAAGGUGUCUGAAGUCUCAGGAGGGCAGCUCCAGCCGCUUCCUGUAGAGCCUCCAUCAACUUUGUCCUUUCCACACACAGCUGGGAAAGGGCAGGGAUGGGACUGAUGGCCAGUGAGGGUCCAGAACCUGCCUUAGUUCACAAUAUAUCCUCAGGUGAGAAUGUUCUAGAAAAAUCCUCUGGUAACACAAUCUAUGUGCUUGAGCACAAAAUUCAGCAAUGUUGGAGAGGAAGGUAGGCUUCCUAGCAUGGGGAAGCAGCCCAUUCUCACCCCUAUUUUAACACCUUUCUGCUCUGCAAAUGGCUGCAGUGUCUAUAAGGCAGAGCCUAGUGACACACGGUGUGUGGCCUUUGCGCCCGCUCUGCCUGAGUUCCGGCUCUGAGUCGAAAGAGAGGCGCAGAUGACAUUCAGAAAGUUCAUGGAAAUCCUUUUUGCGUUCAAACUUCUGGCUGGGACACAGGUCAGAAAAUGACCUCAUCUCCUCUGGAUCCUUGCCCAAGGCUGAGCCCUGGCAGCUGCCACCCUGUGCCCUGGUGCAGUUCUGGCUGGAUACCAGCUGGGCUCUUUCCUUCUGUCCUGGCUGCUGGCCUCACUCAGGGACAGCAGCCCCUGGACGAUCACUUCUGCGUCCGAGCCAUCCUCGAAGUCUUACGCCGCCGCAGAAGGCGCCCGCUAUUGUUUCGUUUGACUUGCUCUGUUUUGACAGCACCUCUUUUAGCAGGGACGUCUGACUCUUUAUUUUUUUAAUUUUAUUUUGGUUUUUGUAGAACUUGCCAAGCAGGUAAAUGUGGCUCUGGGGAAGUGACCUGUCAGCAUGAUCAGAUUUCAAGGAAGCAGAGUACUCGGAGCCGGAGGACUUUAGUUUUCUGUAACAACUGUGGGCCAGCUAUUGUUCUGUCCCGUUUUACACGUUUAAUGCAAACAGUUUCUCAAACACAAGUGGGUUAUAGCAAUCCUUGAACUUCUCCAGGUGGUAGAAAGGCUGGAAAAGGUCUGCAGACGAGGUCAGUUGAUUUGGCCCCACUCGGCUUGUGGAUGCUCCUAAAGUUACUGUAUGCUGGCGGCACGGUGAAGCGACUCCAGGGUAUUCACACGUGUGGGGUAAAGGCCUCCAUGACAAACAGGGUCUCUACCCUCCCUGCGACAGUGCACACACUUGGGGCAUUAAUGUUCUGAACAAAUACGCAGCACAGUUGGCCCUUGCUAUACAUGGAUUCUGCAUCUGUGAAUCCAACCAAUCACACGCUGAAGAAAUAUUUUCUUAAAAUCCUGUUUGUACUGAAACAUGUCCACCAACUCCUGCCAUUACUCCUUGGCCAAUAUGGUCUAAUAACCAUUUACACAGAGUUCACAUUGUGUUGCAAAUUGUAAGUUACCUAGAGAAGAUGUCAAGUGUGAGAGGACGUCUGUGGGGGGGUACCUGUAAAUAUGCAGCCAUUUCGGAUGAGGGACUUGGGCAUCUCUGGAUUCUGGUGUGUUUGAGAGCCCUGGAACCAACCAUAUACACACAUAUACAGUAGGUUUUCCACAAAGACUCUUACGGUCAACAUUGCCUAAUUUGAACUAAAGCUAUGUUCAUUUUUAGUGUCCAUCAUGGCCAUUUACAAGGCCCCGCAUUGUCAUUACUACUGCUAUUGAUACUUUACAGCAAAGGAAAUCAACCACUAUAGAGUCCUAUAGGCUCCUCAUCAUGUUUGGGGUUAGAACUCAGACAUUUUCCAGCCUUAAUCCUAAAAUGAUGUAGCCAAGGACUUAACACUGUUGUCAGCUCCUGUCUUAAUUCCCUUGUCUUACAUCCUUUGGAGUUUUUUGUUGUUGUUGAUAUUUUUUGUCUUCUAGUUUCUUAAGAUGAAUUCUAACUUGUAUUUUAAAUUUUCUUUCCACAUUAAAGACCGUGUUCAAAGCUAUUUUGUCUAAAAACAACUUUUUGUGCACGCUAUAGGUCUGUUGUGAGGUCUCUUGGUUUGUGUGUGUGUGUGUUCACUCACGCACCACCUGUGUGACUGCCCACAGAGGCCAGAAGAGGGCAUUGGACACCCUGGAGCUGGAUUUACAGGCAAGCGUGAGCCACUGUGUGGGUGCCGGGAACCAAUCUCGGGUCCUUUGCAUGAGCAGCAGGCGCUCUUAACCACAGGGCCGUCUUUCAUCUCUUAGUUUUGCUCACUUGCUAAAUAACACACUUUCAGCCUUGACUUUGUUUGCUCAGGGACAUUUAAUGAAUGUACUUUGUUUUCUAAAUAUAGAAAAUUGGGCCUUUCCAUGAUUUAUCUAUUUGGUAGGGGGUGAUAUGAGACAGAUGAUUCUAAAAUCUAAUUCCUUAAACUAUUUGAAAUGUCCUUCAUCGUCAAGUUUCUGACUGAAGUUCACAAAUGUCACAAAAUUUAUCUUUUGAAAGACAAAAAAAAAUAAGGAAAAGUUAUGUAUUUUUAACUUUGUGGUGCAAAUUUCUUUUGCAUGAUACUAAAAUGCCUUAAGAUCC